AUUGAACGCUGGCGGCAGGCUUAACACUUGCAAGUCGAGCGGAGAUGAGGUGCUUGCACCUUAUCUUAGCGGCGGACGGGUGAGUAAUGCUUAGGAAUCUGCCUAUUAGUGGGGGACAACAUUCCGAAAGGAAUGCUAAUACCGCAUACGUCCUACGGGAGAAAGCAGGGGAUCUUCGGACCUUGCGCUAAUAGAUGAGCCUAAGUCGGAUUAGCUAGUUGGUGGGGUAAAGGCCUACCAAGGCGACGAUCUGUAGCGGGUCUGAGAGGAAGCUCCACCACACUGGGACUGGGACACGGCGCAGACUCCUACGGGAGGCAGCAGUGGGGAAUAUUGGACAAUGGGGGGAACCCUGAUCCAGCCAUGCCGCGUGUGUGAAGAAGGCCUUAUGGUUGUAAAGCACUUUAAGCGAGGAGGAGGCUACUGAGACUAAUACUCUUGGAUAGUGGACGUUACUCGCAGAAUAAGCACCGGCUAACUCUGUGCCAGCCGCCGCCGUAA
rnacentral:rRNA from 1 species